rfam:Collinsella tanakaei YIT 12063 genomic scaffold supercont1.1, whole genome shotgun sequence.
UCCUCGAUAGCUCAAUGGUAGAGCACGCGGCUGUUAACCGCGCUGUUGUAGGUUCGAGUCCUACUCGAGGAG